rnacentral:rRNA from 1 species
UGGGCAACCUGCCCCUCUCCCUGGGAUAACCCCGGGGAACCGGAGCUAAUACCGGAUACUCCGGCUGGAUCGCAUGGUCCGGCCGGGAAAGGUCCGCCGGAGAGGGAUGGGCCCGCGGCCUAUCAGCUUGUUGGUGGGGUCAUGGCUCACCAAGGCGACGACGGGUAGCUGGUCUGAGAGGACGACCAGCCACACUGGAACUGAGAUACGGUCCAGACUCCUACGGGAGGCA